CCCACGAAAAAAAACCACGGCAUGCACCAGCGAGCGAGCGAGCGAGGCCUCGACCUCGAGGGAACCACGCCAUCGCACUCGCAUUCCGCCGCCGCCGCUCCCUGCGCUACCUCGACGGAAGCCAUCGCAAAUCCAUCCCUUCGCCGCCGCCCUCGCGCUCGCAUCAAGGAUCGAGGCCUCCAGAGUAUCCUCGAUCCCCGCGUUACCCGUUCGCCGCAGCCGAUCCCGCCGCCGCGGGAGAGAUGAGCUGAUCUCCAUGGCCAGAUGAGGAAGGAAUACGGGUGACGGGAUGGAUUUGGAUCUCAAGUUGGGGAGGCCAACGUAGCCGCCCCUAGCGCGUCGAGCGAAAGCGAAGGAUUUGGAUCUCAUGGAUUUGGCUGCGUCGACCAGCAGAGGACCGCCGCCGGCUCGGCUCCUCCACCACGAAGCGACCUCCUUCCACCCCGUAGCCGCCGCCCGAAACCCUAGCAAUCGAGCCCCACCCAUGGUGCCCUAGGUGGUACAACGGCCAGAGGAGAGGAAGUGGAGCAGCAAUCGCCUGGACGUGAGGUGAGCUUCCCCCAUCCAAUCUUAUCCACCCUCACCCCCGGGUGGCUCACAAUAUCUAUCACCUGCAGCAGCAUCUUGUGCAUGCAUCCAUUGAGGACGUGAGGUGCACACCACAUUUUGGUUCAGUUUUUCCCUUCUUUAUUAUAAUUAUGCCAAGGACAUCUUAUGCCUUACAGUAGUAUUCAAAUUCUCAAGUUUGUUUAUUUAUUUUUAGUGCAAUACUGCUCUCUUGUCUGCAGGAGAUUGGAGGAAAAAAUAUCAAAAAUCGGAGACAUGACGUUUUGGUUCAGUUCUGGAUCAUUUUCUUUUUUGGUUCAGUUUAUAUAAGUGGUUGUUGUUUUAUGUUGCUGCUAGCCAUCAGAAAACGAGUUCACAGUAGGUUUCCAUUUUGUGUUGCUCUGAACUGAAAAAAUAGAGGGGAUGUUGUUAUGCCUAGCGUGAAGUUCACAGUAGGUUUGGCAUCAAUUGAGCAAACUUUGUUACAGUUUUUAGUGGCUGUUGUAUGUAUUACAUUUUUGCUUUUUCUAAAACCACAUGUAUCCUAUAAUCUGAUUGCUUUUCUUUGUCUGAGCAACAGUGUCUGAGCUUUCCCUCCACUAUUUUUUCCUCUCUCUCUCUCUCUCUCUCUCUUUCUCUCUCUCACUCAAUCUCAACUUGGCAAGCGAUGGCGGCGGUGAAUGGGCAGCGCGGGCGUCGAGCAGGAUCAUGGGGGAGCAGGGGAGGCCAGAGGCUGCUCACCAUAUACAUCACCAUCCAUAGCCGCCCUCGUCCGCCAAGAAGCUGAGGAGGGAGGCUAACCUCCAGUGACCACUCUACACCGCUCUGGACGACACCCUCCCCACCAGAUUUAUUCACCUUAUUGGGACGGUGGGGUUAAUAUAUAUACAUCAAUUUUGAGCAUCGGCAACGCAUGAAGCUUGCUUCUGAGGCUGCAACAUGUUUUAUCAGCACAGGUUCAGAGAUAACUUUAAUGAGUAAACAAAUAAUUUUCAUGCAGGUCAGUUCUGAUGUGUGUUGAAUAGCUCAAUUUUGUUUUGAUCUGCUACGUUUAGUCAUUGUUUGCUCUAGCAUCAACACUAACUGUCACACGCACGCCGCCCCAUGGACGCCCCUGACUGAGGUGCGGGUCGGUGCUUGCCGUCGGUCCAUCCGCAUCGGCGCAGUGGCAUGUACCCCUUGAAAGCUUUGAAGCCUGAAAAAGCCGCAGGACCAGAUCUUCCCAUCAACCUGAAGAUGUGAAGUACGCUGCGUCUCCUGGUAUUUGUGUUGCUUCCGCUGGAUGACGCUCUAUUGUCGUUGUUGCCUCAGCCCUCCCAGUUGUCGUGUUCUUCCCUUCUCUUGCUGCUCGAUGAGAUGACUAGAGCACCUUGUGGUGACUUUGUUCUCUGGGCUGCUCGCGAUGUAGUUCUAGAGCAGCUUCAGCGGCAAGAUGCCAUAGUUUCCUAAUUACUACGAUGAUUUGCUGGAUGAGGAGGUGGGUGU